rnacentral:lncRNA from 1 species
CUCAAAACCAUGAUGUUGAGUGAAAUAUGCCUUACACAAAAGAGUACAUUCUGUAUGAUUCAAUAUCUAUAAAGUUCUAGAACAGGUAGAACUAACCUAUGGUGGAAACAACCCAGUGGUGUCCUCUGAGAGGCUGGGGGCAGAUAUUGACAAGAAAGUGUUCGAGGAAACGUUCUGGGAUGAUGGAGGAACCCAUAGUUCCAGUUUCAGGAAAACCACGUAGCCUCAGUUGGUAACACAAGAAAGCUCUUCCAUACUGAGCAAUGCCGGCUUGUAAAUGUUGAAGGCAUAGCAACCCGCUCUUGCGAUCCCUAAUGAAGUAAUUGAUUAGGGCAAAGUGUACCAAUGGAGGCUAACUCAUCCAGUAAAGUGUUUCUGAGGCAAUGACGGAUCUAAGGAAGAAAAUACGUAAUUAUAAGGAUGGCGUCCACCUUCGGAGUCUGUGUCUCCCUAAAGUAGACAUCAGAAACGUACCUUCCCAGUUUCCUUCGCAGUUGAGGCAUAGACGUGUGACCGGCGUCCACCGAUCAGAUGCUUGGAGCCUAGCAGUUGGGAGCCCAGACUCCUCCCCACCCACCCAGGUCUGCCCACCUUCCUGCCUCUCUCUGGGACUUGACCCAGGAACGUGAUUCUCCAGGCACACGUGGAGACAAGCCAGCCACCAGCCACACUCAGACUCAGGAGCCGUCCCCGGGUGACUUGGACCGCAGAUAAUAAUAAAUAAUAGCCAGCAUUUCAGUA